GGGAGCUUGGCACAGUUGGUUGAGUGCGUACGUCUCAUGGCAGAUCUCUUGGAUCGAGGCAUCGUAAGGUCGUGAGUUUAAUUCUCACAGUUCCCA